rnacentral:lncRNA from 1 species
UCAGGAGUUCGAAUCUCUGCAUUGGCAAUAUUUUUGUUCGACUCUAAGUGAGAGAGUUUCAGUUGUGAUAGAGUUCUGGGUAGUGGGGAGUUAGGUUGAGUGAAUUAAGAGUUGAGACAGGGGGUUACCGAAAUCUCUCAUUUGAUUUCUUUUUGCAAAAUUUAUGUUCUCCCUUUUCCCUCUGUGCCAAAAUUUUCACUUCUCCCUUCCUCUAAUCUUUUUCUUUUUUUUU